rnacentral:rRNA from 1 species
UAAAACCAGCACCUCAAGUGGUCAGGAUGAUUAUUGGGCCUAAAGCAUCCGUAGCCGGCUCUGUAAGUUUUCGGUUAAAUCUGUACGCUCAACGUACAGGCUGCCGGGAAUACUGCAAAGCUAGGGAGUGGGAGAAGUAGACGGUACUCGGUAGGAAGUGGUAAAAUGCUUUGAUCUAUCGAUGACACCUGUGGCGAAGGCGGUCUACUAGAACACGUCCGACGGUGAGGGAUGAAAGCUGGGGGAGCAAACCGGAUUAGAUACCCGGGUAGUCCCAGCUGUAAACUAUGCAAACUCAGUGAUGCAUUGGCUUGUGGCCAAUGCAGUGCUGCAGGGAAGCCGUUAAGUUUGCCGCCUGGGAAGUACGUACGCAAGUAUG